GGAGCCGGCCAGACAGUCGCGUCAUCACUCGUGAUGCCGAGGAAAGUCCGGGCUCCACAGGGCACGGUGCCAGGUAACGCCUGGGCGGCGCGAGCCGACGGAAAGUGCAACAGAAAGAUACCGCCGAUGGCUCUUCGGAGAUCAGGCAAGGGUGAAAUGGUGCGGUAAGAGCGCACCGCGAGUCCGGCAACGGACCGGCACGGCAAACCCCACCGGGAGCAAGACCAAAUAGGGAGGCAAUGCCGCGGCCCGCGGUGCCUCCGGGUAGGUUGCUUGAGCGUAUCGGCGACGAUGCGCCUAGAGGAAUGACUGUCCACGACAGAACCCGGCUUAUCGGCCGGCUCCGCCC
rnacentral:RNase_P_RNA from 1 species